GGACAUUACGCAAGAUCAGUAAAUACAUCACUCCUUUAUUUCAGCAGAAAGACUCCCCGAACCCUUCUGCCUGGCCGCGGGGCCCGGCAAAGGUCGGAGGCGCCGCCGCGUUAGGGACUGGGCGGCGGCGAGGGGGGCGACACACGGGCAACGUGGUUCCUGGUUUUAAUUGCUUCCAUUUGGCCUCAGCCGGGGCUGGGAGCGACGCGGACGUAAGCGAGUGUGUCCUGACCACAGGAAGGAACAAUGUUAAACAUUUUAAUUAUACGGGGAGCGAAACAAAGUAAAAGCAGAACAAUGAAGAGCAAACAUGAAGAAAGGGAAGCUAAUUAAUGGAACAUUAACAGGGAACCCGGGGGGACCACCUGGCUGGUUUACCUGCUCAGCAUUGGACCACAGAGCUGCCAGGAACAAGUAACUUCCCUUCAAGGACCCCCUCUAAAGUCUGUUCAAGUUUCAGAAACUCGGUGACCAUACUUUGAUGACAGGCCAGAUGGCAGCUGUUCCCCUAGCCUGGUGCCAAGAAAGAUGAUUGGAGCUGCAAUUUACCUUCCGUGGUGAAGCUCAAUGCUGGAGCAUACCACAGCUGCGGAUUUGGCUGCUGCCAGUAGGUGUGUGCACAGUUGGUUUCCUCCCAAUUUGGAUUCAUCAGAAAAUGUUUGUGAAACUGACCACAGAUGGAACAGAUCUUUUUAGACCUGCUCAGCACUGGGGAAGGCAUGAAGACAGCAGAAAAGCCGUUUGCUAGGAUAACAGCUGUUCCAGAUGUGUGAAAAGCCCAGCACGCACAAAAAAAUCAGAAGCAGAACUUUGCCAGUGCACACUUACAAGAGAAGAUUACCUCAUGGAAGUAAAAUAUAAAUUGUUUCUACUGGAAUUACUUAAUUGAAAGUACAAUUUUACAUUUGAGGGAGGGAUGAUCUUGGGCUGAGGGAUAAUACACUGCGAGACAAGCCGAAACUCUGAGAUUGCGAAGGUUUAGUCAUGUCCCUGUCUGUGUUUAAUGACAAAUCCCUGUGACCUCCUUCCCUUCUGGGACUUUAAGAUUUUAGGAGCAAGAAACUUAUUUGUCCAGCACUUAAAAUACUGGGUUCAUGAUACAGGAUGGGGACUCUCAUAAAUCUAAGCUUGUAGUGCUCCCUAGCAAGAAAUUCCUGUAAUAAUGCAAUUUUCUCCUUUCUUCACACAGGAUUACUUAGCGACAAGAGAAAGAGGAUAGUGAGAUAAGUCUUUCUCCCUGCUGCAGCAUAG